rnacentral:rRNA from 1 species
GUAGGGAAUCUUCCGCAAUGGGCGAAAGCCUGACGGAGCAACGCCGCGUGUGCGAAGAAGGUCUUCGGAUCGUAAAGCACUGUUGUUAAGGAAGAACGACAGUAAGAGUAACUGCUUACUGUGUGACGGUACUUAACCAGAAAGCCACGGCUAACUACGUGCCAGCAGCCGCGGUAAUACGUAGGUGGCAAGCGUUAUCCGGAAUUAUUGGGCGUAAAGCGCGCGUAGGCGGCGAGAUUAGUCUGAUGUGAAAGCCCCCGGCUCAACCGGGGAAGGUCAUUGGAAACUGUUUCGCUUGAGUGCAGAAGAGGAGAGUGGAAUUCCAUGUGUAGCGGUGAAAUGCGCAGAGAUAUGGAGGAACACCAGUGGCGAAGGCGGCUCUCUGGUCUGCAACUGACGCUGAUGUGCGAAAGCGUGGGGAUCAAACAGGAUUAGAAACCCUUGUAGUCC